CAAUUUGAGGGUUCAUCGUUGUUAAUUUCAGAAAAGACAUUGGCCGCUAAAGAAAUAUAUCUUAUUUAUUUAUUGAAAUAACAAAAGAAUUAUCCGCCGUCCUGCUUCUAACAGUCGAGAGCUCCUCUGCCUUGAGUUUCCAGCUCCCUCAUUCUCGGCACUCCACGAUUGCAAUGGAGGCUCACGUUCAUGUGCCUCGUGUCAAAGCUACGCUUAAACUUGGGUCAGAGAUAUACUCUGUUGAUGCAAGUCAGGGCAGUACCAUCUCUGAGGAAUUGGUUUGUAUGAAAGAGAAAAGCAUGGGUAUAUUGAAAGAAUUCAUCACCAAACAUAAUGUUCCAAACGAUGUUCCUGAUGAAAUGGCAGAAAGCUCUUCGGAAGAUGAUGAAGAAAUCCAAGAGAAGCCUCAUGUUAAAUCAAAGAAAACAAAACUUACUUGAGGCUCCCUUGUUUUGGUCAAAUCUGUAACAUCCAUGGAAAGCUUCUUUAUUUUUCAAAUGACUUAAGCAAAAUAUCAGGAGUAAGAUUUUAGGCUGUUCUGCUGCAUAUCCCUUGUAGCUUUUACUUUUCUUGAUCUUAUAUUAAUAUGUAAUGUGAUUACAAUUAGACUAUCGCCAUUUGUGCUGCAAUUCUAGUUUUCUGCGGAUGCUUUACACA